GGCCCAGUGGUCUAGACGUAUGAUUCGUCCUUCGGGGUUUCUUAACUCACGAGAACAUGGUUCUUCAUGGACGAGGCCCCGGGUUCAAUUCCCGGCUGGGCCC